rnacentral:rRNA from 1 species
AUGGAAAUGCCAGAAUCACAACGUUCUGGUGGCCCUCGAGGCAUCCCACUCGUCUGGCUUCGUGAUAACUUUUGUAUUAUAUCUAGCUUCGCUGAUGAGGGGACGAGAAAAAGACAUCUGUUUGCGUAUUUGUUGUGGCUCCUCGGGACUAUGUUUCCAAAUUCACACGGGGACGUUGUUCUCCCUGGUAUCAUCUACAUUGCAGAGAAUAUGGUAGAUGGACCUUUACCCGAGCAGCCAAAAUACAGCUUCGGUUCUGCCAUGCUAUCUCAUACAUAUAGAGGCUUGUGUGAUGCCACACAAAAAACCUCUUUCGCACAAAAAAGCUCCAUUACUUUGUGUCGCCUACGAGUUUCUAUAGUUGUGGUCCUGGGAAUACCUCCCUGUAGGAUGACCUUGUUUAGUAAACCCCGUACACCCAUACAACUUUAG